UACGUAGGGGGCUAGCGUUGUCCGGAAUCAUUGGGCGUAAAGCGCGUGUAGGCGGCCCGGUAAGUCCGCUGUGAAAGUCCAGGGCUCAACCCUGGGAUGCCGGUGGAUACUGUCGGACUAGAGUUCGGAAGAGGCGAGUGGAAUUCCCGGUGUAGCGGUGAAAUGCGCAGAUAUCGGGAGGAACACCAAUGGCGAAGGCAGCUCGCUGGGACGUUACUGACGCUGAGACGCGAAAGCGUGGGGAGCGAACAGG
rnacentral:rRNA from 1 species